AUUGAACGCUGGCGGCAGGCCUAACACAUGCAAGUCGAACGGUAGCACAGAGAGCUUGCUCUCGGGUGACGAGUGGCGGACGGGUGAGUAAUGUCUGGGAAACUGCCUGAUGGAGGGGGAUAACUACUGGAAACGGUAGCUAAUACCGCAUAACGUCGCAAGACCAAAGAGGGGGACCUUCGGGCCUCUUGCCAUCAGAUGUGCCCAGAUGGGAUUAGCUAGUAGGUGGGGUAACGGCUCACCUAGGCGACGAUCCCUAGCUGGUCUGAGAGGAUGACCAGCCACACUGGAACUGAGACACGGUCCAGACUCCUACGGGAGGCAGCAGUGGGGAAUAUUGCACAAUGGGCGCAAGCCUGAUGCAGCCAUGCCGCGUGUAUGAAGAAGGCCUUCGGGUUGUAAAGUACUUUCAGCGGGGAGGAAGGUGUUGUGGUUAAUAACCGCAGCAAUUGACGUUACCCGCAGAAGAAGCACCGGCUAA
rnacentral:rRNA from 2 species